CAGCCGCCACGGGAAUACGUAGGGUGCAAGCGUUAAUCGGAAUUACUGGGCGUAAAGCGUGCGUAGGCGGUUUGUUAAGUCUGUUGUGAAAUCCCCGGGCUCAACCUGGGAAUGGCAAUGGAUACUGGCAAGCUAGAGUGUGUCAGAGGAUGGUGGAAUUCCCGGUGUAGCGGUGAAAUGCGUAGAGAUCGGGAGGAACAUCAGUGGCGAAGGCGGCCAUCUGGGACAACACUGACGCUGAGGCACGAAAGCGUGGGGAGCAAACAGGAUUAGAUACCCCAGUAGUCCCUGUCUCUUAUAC
rnacentral:rRNA from 1 species